UACGAGGGGGGCAAGCGUUGUUCGGAAUUAUUGGGCGUAAAGGGUGCGUAGGCGGUUAUUUAAGUCAGGUGUGAAAGCCCCGGGCUCAACCUGGGAAUUGCAUUUGAGACUGAAUAGCUAGGGUGCGGAAGAGGGAAGCGGAAUUUCCGGUGUAGCGGUGAAAUGCGUAGAUAUCGGAAGGAACACCAGUGGCGAAAGCGGCUUCCUGGUCCAGCACCGACGUUCAGGCACGAAAGCGUGGGGAGCAAACAGG
rnacentral:rRNA from 1 species